GAGAGAGAGAGAGAGAGAGAGAGAGAGAGAGAGAGAGAGAGAUGAUUGUUUUAUGUUCGAACACCAGUGUUCGGAUUCCUGGUUGGAUUUUAAAUCUUUGAAGCUCUGAUGCUGCAUCUUGUUGCA